CGCGGUCGGCCCACAGGCUGGGCACUAACGGGUCCCGGGGCGCCGGGGCGGACUGCGGCGGUCGUAGUGGACUAAUUUUACAGGCGAAGUUAAGUGACUUACCCAAAACCUCACAGCUAAUAAACGGCAGAGCCGGCACCCAGCUGUACUGGCUUCCAGCGCAUCCCAUUAUCUCCAUAAAUCCCCCUGAUUCAACUAAUAUUAGACGCCCCACAGAGUCUCGCUGCUCAAAACGUGGUCAGUGGCCCAGCAGCACUGACAUGAGGACCUUAGUUGGAAACUCAGAAUCUCAGGCUCCACCCCAGACCUGCUGAACCAGCAUCUUCAACUUAACAAGAACCCGAAGAGAUUUGUGCCACAUCAAAAAGUUUGAGAAGCUCUGAUCUAGCUGGACCCUGGACACGGUGACUCUGAUUCAAUUAUGCAGAUGACCACAAGCCUCUGGGGUUGGCAGAGCCACAAGAAAGAAGGUGCCUGGAUGAAGGAGAGCUACCCACUGACCUGGACACCCAAUUAUUCAUCUGUCUUAGAGCUAUUGGAAUCCUGGAUCAUUGUGGGAAAUGAAAAAUACUUCGAUGGAAUCAGCAGCCAUUGAUCCAAUGCCAACUCCAAGACUGGAACGUCGCAAUGAUAGUUCCAAGGCGGAAAUUUGACGUAAUUCUUUUCGACACAGUUUUACAGGUCUGGAUGCCCAUUUUAAUUCUUCUGAAAGCAUGCCUCCUUCUGGCUUCAGGACUCCAUCUCCAGCCUUAUGAUCUAAAAAUAAUCCCCAAACCAAAAAAUUAGAUAUUAUUUCCUCAAAAUUAGGUGUUUUAAUCAAAACAUCUUAACAUAAAUACAUUAUUAUCACCCAAUAUGCAUAAUGUUGUUCAACUUUUUUGUUAAAUGACUUAUUUUAGAUGAACAGAUGUGUGAAUAUGAAUAUUUUUAUUUCACUUACAGGCAUCUUGCAUGUGAAUAACUCACAACUUUAAUUCAUGGAACAAAUUGAGAAAUAGUCUUUUGGGGGUUUGGUACUCCCUGGAAACAUAAGAGUGCUUUGGGCACCUCUGGUGCCUUUCCAUGCCUGCCUUCUCUGCUGUUCUUGCUACUAGUGAAUUCUAAAUCAUGGCCAAGUGAUGCCAGCACUGGAUAAUAUUGGCUCUGCCCCAUAUCUCGAGGGAAAACUCUGGGACUUGGCAUUAUAUGUGUGGGAAUCUGGCCUUGGUUGGCACUCCCAGCAUGAUAGCAGGGUUCUGCUGUCUGAAUGUACUCUGGGGUGUGCGCCACAAUUUCUGUCAUCGAAAUGGAGAUGAGAGAAUAUGCCCUUGGUGGGGACACCCCACUGGAAUUAGAGUGAAGAGAUCAAAGCUAGAGGUUCUUAAAUCAAAGAAUGUCUAAUAGCAAAGACAAAAACUUGCUUAAGAGAAAUGCAUACAGGUACUAGACCUAAUAUGAUGAAAAAUGCUAACUUCAACAUAUUGAUGCAUGCUUAGUAUACUUUUAGUCCUGCAAAGACAAAAGUUUUUUGUUUGUUUUUUUUUGAGACGGAGUCUCGCUCUGUCGCCCAGGUUGGAGUGCAGUGGUGUGAUCUCGGCUUACUGCAAGCUCUGCCUCCUGGGUUCACACCAUUCUCCUGCCUCAGCCUCCGGAGUAGCUGGGACUACAGGCGCCCGCCACCACGCCCGGCUAAUUUUUUGUAUUUUUAGUAGAGAUGGGGUUUCACCGUGUUAGCCAGGAUGGUCUCGAUCUCCUGACCUCAGGUGAUCCGCCUGCCUUGGCCUCCCAAAGUGCUGGGAUUACAGGCAUGAGCCACCGCACCUGGCCCAGUCCUGCCAAGACAAAGUUUUAAAACACAGGUUGCACAUUGGCAGCUCUCAAGCCAAAUCUGGCCCAUAGACAUGGUUUGCUUGGCCUAUAAUGUUAGUAAUACUUGACCCAAGAUUUAAAAUUUGAAAAGUUUCAUAUAAAAAUAUAGAUUUACAGCUUUUCUAGAAAAACUAUAAGAGUUAACAGUUUCUGAAUUGCAACAGCAGCUGGAACACCGUUGCCACUGACCAUUUAGAUGACUGCUGCAGUCCCCACGGCUCACUCUGGUUCAGGUAGGGGUUCUAGUUUGUAACCCCUGGUUUAAAACAUAACUGACUCUCUAGUUUUUAAAAUUCUCUCAAAAUCAAAUAACCUGAACUAGCAAAUGAUCUAGAUCCUCGUACAUGGAACUCAUACUAAGUUGACCACAGACAGUGGCUCCCAAACUCUGCAGUACAUCAGAGUCACUGGGAAGCUUUAAAAAAUCCUGCUCCCUAGCUGGGUGCAGUGGUUUAUGCCUGUAGCCCCAGCUACUUGAGAGGCUGAGGUGGGAGGAUUGCUCAAGCCCAGGAGUUUGAGGCUGCAGUGAGCCAUGAAUGUACCACUACACUCCAGCCUGGGCAACAGAGCAAGACCCCAACUCUAAAAAAAAAUCCUGCUCCCCAGGUGACAGUAUCUGGGGGAAGGAGUAAGGCAUCUUAUUUUCAAAAGAUCAUAAGAAAAGAGGCUCAUUGCUGAGGCUCACUCCGGAGCCCACUUGGAUUCUUCACAAGAAAGUUUCCCUCUUCCAGAAUUUUAUAAUUGAGGGAACCGACUAGGGAAAGAUUAAUUUGCCCAAGGUCAAACAACUAGUAAAAGAAGUAAGGAUUCCAACCCAGAUCUUUUGACUCUAUUAUCCUUACAUAUAGUUUUAUAGUGAUUUAAAUUGAUACAAGGAUAGGUUUAAAUACAAGUAGAAUGCAGGUUCAUAUAAAACUGAUUUUAUCCUCAUGUUAGAAAACAUAUACACUGUAACAGAGGGAUGACCAUCAAGUGACCAAGAUAUUUUAGUCAAAAGAUGAAUUUUUCUGCAAUUGGAGAAUGCCAAAAAUAUUCAAAGAAAAUAUAAGUCUUGUAGGCAGUCUUCUAUCAAAACCCACUGAACCGCUGGGCACGGUGGCUCAUGCCUGUAAUUCCAGCACUUUGGGAGGCCAAGGCUGGUGGAUCACCUGAGGUCAGGAGUUUGAGACCAGCCUGGCCGACAUGGUCUCUACUAAAAAUACAAAAAAUUAGCUGGGCCUGGUGGCGGCACCUGUAAUCCCAGCUACUGAGGAGGCUGAGGCAGGAGAAUUGUUUGAACCUUGGAGGUAGAGGCUGCAGUGAGCUGAGAUAGCACCACUGCACUCCAGCCUGGGUAACAAGAGUGAAACUCCAUUCAAAAACAAAAAACAAACAAAAAAAAAACAAUGCACCAAAUACUAAGUUAUUAACUAGGAUACUGAUUAUUAAGCAUGUAAAACAUUUUAUGGAACUCAGAGUUUGAUGUAAAUUGCUAUAUUUUAUAAUUCAAACAAACCUUGUUUCAUGUCAUUAUAUUAGAGUAGCAUUAUGAGACAGGAUAUAGUGUAAGCUAUAUCCCCAAUAUAAUUGCAACUGUAUAUUUUAAAGCAUGGGGAAAAUAUGAAAAGAAUUAUGCUCAAAUGUGGGUAGGAUUAUAACUGAUUUGUUUUCUUCAUUUUCAGAUUUUUCUAUAAUGACUAUACAUUAUUUUUAUAGUCAAAAAUAGAAGUAUUUUAAAUGUUUCUAGGUAGAAUAGCAAAUUAGCUGAAAUAGUAUCUCCAACGUUAUUAUCAAGACUAGACUCCUUGGGUAAAUUGGUCAGAACAGUGUUGUUCUCAUUUUACACCUCUCCAAGAUUAACUAUGUUUUAGAUUUGUGUGUGUGUUUGGUUAAAGAGCCAGGAUGAAGAUCCAGAGUUCUUAAACCUGUAUACCACCAUACUACAUUGUCAUUUUAAAGAAAUGUCUAGUAGACUCGGUGGCAUAAACAUGGGCCAUUUACAAACUAGAUGUCUAAUAUCAGAUACCUCAAAUUUGACAGUAGACUUUUUUUCAAAGCUAAAGUGGUCUUAUGUUGACUAUUUUGUUUCUUACUUGAUACUUGUUUACUUUUUAAUUUUUGGCAAGUAAUGUUUCAAGUUAAAGUUUUAGCUAUAUAUAGCAGGCAGUAUUUCAAGUAAAUGAGUUACAUCAGUAAACACCUCUGUAUUACUAAACUGAGAAUCAGAAAAUGUAAUCUCUUUGGCAGGAUUCGUAUGUUUGUAUCACGUCUUUAUCCUCAGGCAACUUUUAUCUUGGAAUACUGAACCAGCAGUCAGAAUAUGAGGGACAUUAGACUGUGUUAUAGUUACUGUUCUGUCCUUAAGUCACUUGCCUUCUCUAAGUGUCAGUUGCCUCAUCUGAAAAUGGAGUUAGCAGACCCCAGCCUAUCCUGAGUUUGAGGGCUAAAGGGAAUUAUUCUUGAAAAUGUCUAUACAUGAUAAAUGUCACAAAUAUAACUUAGCAUUUUUUUUUUGAGACAGAGUUUCGCUCUUGUGGCCCAGGUCGGGGUGCAAUGUCGUGAUCUCAGCUCACUGCAACCUCUGCCUCCCGGGUUCAAGCGAUUCUCCUGCCUCAGCCUCCUGAGUAGCUGGGAUUACAGGCAUGCACCACCACACCUGGCUAAUUUUGUAUUUUUUAAUAGAGACGGGGUUUCACCAUGUUGGUCAGGUUGGUCUCGAACUCCUACCCUCCGGUGAUCCACCCGCCUUGGCCUCCCAAAGUGCUGGGAUUACAGGCAUGAGCCACCGCACCUAGCCAAUUCUACUUCUAUUACAUUUUCAGCAUAUAUCACUUCAUUGCUCCUCCAUAUUAUUUUUCACUGGUCUUCUUACAUCUUGUGUGCCCAUAUUUAAGUAGUUUUCUUUCCAGGUAAAAAAUACAUGUGUGCCUAAAAGAUUUUAAAGUCAACUUUUCAUAAACCAUACCUAAAUUAUCAAAGUUAUUAGAAUUAUUAGAAAGUAUUAGCUAAUUCUUUUAUAAAAUGUAGACUUUAUUAUUUUAGAAAUAUUGAUUCCUCUCUAUUCAGCUAUCUUAAAGAGGGUAUAUUUUAAUCAUCGCAAUAUAUUACCUUCAUAGUAUUUUUUACUUUUGCAAAGUAUAUUUUGUCAUGUUAUUUCAUUUAGGAAUGCACUAAAUCUACAUAUCUACAUAUGAUUAUACAAGGAAACAUCUUUGUCUCAAAAAUGGGUUCUAUUACAUUUUUUAAUUUCCAGGGGUCAUGAUAUAUAAAAAGACCUGAUUUAUCUUAAAAAUACAUACUUUUAUUCUUACCUACCAUACAUCUUUUUUUGUGAUAAUCAGAAGGCUUAAUUUACUAUAAAAUAGGAAAACAACAGCUAUGUUAGAUUAUAUAGUUAAUUUAGGGAUUAAAUGAGUUAAGGUCUACAAGCCCCUGGCACAUGGCAGACAAUCAAUAAUUGAUCAUUUCCUUUGCAUCUAUAAAUUUGUUCAUUCACUUCUCAUGUGGUUCUACCUUAGACAACGAUUUUUGUUUACAGAGACAAAUAGAAGUAUCUAAUCCUAAAUAACCCAAUCAAUUGGUAAAGGCUACACUACAAAGCUGGCAUGACUUCACCAAAUGCUAGAGAAACAGUGUUAAGAGUGACAACACUAAAAGUCUUACACUCUGAUGAUGCUAGUUGCCGCCGAAUUGCUUCCCCUACCAGUUCCUUAAGUUUCUUCUUAUGAUCCCGGCUGGUUUUCUUAUAGAAAUAAAGAUCUUUUUCCAACUGCUGGAUUUUAUCUUCAUAUGUUUUGAAAGUUUCCAUAAUGCCUUCUCCAUCUUGUUCUAUACAACAAAAAUUUGCAUUUAAAAUCAGUUUUAAAUAAAUGAUGCAAAAUUAUGUUUUUGUUUGUUUCUUUGUCUUUUUGAAACGGAGUCUUGCACUGUCGCCCAGGCUAGAGUGCAGUGGCGUGAUAUGCUCGGCUCACUGUAAGCUCCGCCACCCAGGUUCACACCAUUCUCCUGCCUCCGCCUCCCAAGUAGCUGGGACUACAGGUGCCCAGCACCACGCCCGGCUAAUUUUUUUGUAUUUUUAGUAGAGACGAGGUUUCAUCAUGUUAGCCAGGAUGGUCUCGAUCUCCUGACCUCGUGAACUGCC
rnacentral:lncRNA from 1 species